rnacentral:rRNA from 1 species
UACGUAGGGUGCAAGCGUUGCCCGGAUUUAUUGGGCGUAAAGGGCGCGUAGGCGGCGCGGAACGUCUGUUGUGAAAUCGCCCGGCUCAACUGGGCGGGGUCAGCGGAUACGGCCGUGCUUGAGCAAGCUAGGGGGCAAUGGAAUUCCCGGUGUAGUGGUGGAAUGCGUAGAUAUCAGGAGGAACACCGGUGGCGAAGGCGGGUCUCUGGGCCGAUACUGACGCUGAGGAGCGAAAGCGUGGGGAGCGAACAGG